rnacentral:rRNA from 1 species
UGGGGAAUAUUGGACAAUGGGCGAAAGCCUGAUGCAGCAAUGCCGCGUGAGUGAAGAAGGCCCUUGGGUUGUAAAGCUCUUUCGACAGGGAAGCAGGGUAUUAAGUCGAACAGGCUUAGUAUUUGACGGUACCUGUAUAAGAAGCACCGGCUAACUCCGUGCCAGCAGCCGCGGUAAUACGGAGGGUGCAAGCGUUGUUCGGAAUCACUGGGCGUAAAGCGUACGUAGGCGGAUUCAUAUGUCGACUGUGAAAGCCCCGAGCUCAACUUGGGAAUUGCAGUCGAAACUGUGAGUCUUGAAUACCGGAGAGGGUGGCGGAAUUCCUGGUGUAGGAGUGAAAUCCGUAGAUAUCAGGAGGAACACCUGAGGCGAAGGCGGCUACCUGGCCGUGUAUUGACGCUGAGGUACGAAAGCGUGGGGAGCAAACAGGAUUAGAUACCCUGGUAGUCCACGCCGUAAACGAUGGAUACUAGGUGUUCGGAGUAGUUAACCCUCUGAGUACCGUAGCACACGCAUUAAGUAUCCCGCCUGGGGAGUACGGUCGCAAGGCUA